GCUUAAUUCAGUCAAGGAUAAAACUGAUUUCAUCUUUAUAUGGCGAGCUGUUAUCAAAAUGCUACUGGGAUUGAGUUAUUGGAUGAUUAUUGUUUUGUAAUUCAUAAAUCAGGCAUCUCCAGAUGAACUUUCCGGUAGCAGAAUAUAUUGAAUUUUUUUACAUGACAUGAUUGAACAUACUGAAUAAAAUUUCUAUUAUGCUGUACUAUAGGUUACCUUGAGCUCAUGGAAACAUUACAGAUUGUACAACACUAACAUCGAAUAAACAUGGUGAUGAGUGUGGAGAUGUGGUUAUAACAACCAUAUAGUGGUUAACCAAUCAGAAACAAAUUUAAAGAGAGGAAUAAAUAUAGAAGAAACAAUACAGAUUGCUGAUGAAACAAAGAUGGAAGAAUGUAUUGCCUUAUAAUAACAAUUCACAUUACAUAAGAGCACAAGUAUUGUUUAUGAGUUGGAAUAAUUUGAUUGAGUUGAGAAUAGUUUGAUUGACUUGGGAAUGUUAUCCAGUGCUGGUCGAGAGUCAGAAAAUUAUCUCCUUAAUAACCACCUAUAAAAUGUUUUCUAGUUCUAUUUCCUGUAGCUGCUUUAUAUAUUUCAAUAUCUUUUUGUAUGGAUAUAUGAUAACUGAUUUCAAGCACCAUGUUUCAUGCCAUGUGAACAAAAAUGUAGUAUAGCAGUUUUAACAUUCUGGCUAAAAUAGUUAUCUGGCCAACAUUGAGAUAUAAAUACUGAUAGAUAACAUUACCAUCAUGUAACAUAGUCAGGGGAAAAUUGUCUAAUCCUUACAUCUGCUUUGUUUUGGGAGUUUCAUUAGAUGUUUAACAUUAAUGAAUGAUAUUACAUGUAUUGCAUUUUAUUAUAUUAUAUUGUAGUAAAGUAUGAACAUCUGAUCAUUAGUGUGAUAUAAAGCAAUAUGCUAUAUAUUGAAUUUUUUACAACAACUAGGUAUAACAGUAAUAUAACACUUUUGUCUGGGUGGCUAGUUGAUGCCGUGCAACAGAUACUGCCAAGAUGUGGUUCACACCAGCAACUUUCUACAAGAUUUGUAUUGUAACUAUUGUUCACACUAGCAACUUUCUUCAGGACUGUG